rnacentral:tRNA from 1 species
GGUCACGUGGCGGAGUGGUUACGCAGCGGCCUGCAAAGCCGUCUACCCCGGUUCGAAUCCGGGCGUGACCUCCA